GAUGAACGCUGGCGGUGUGCCUAAUACAUGCAAGUCGAGCGGACGCACGAUAAGCUCUUUCUCCUGAUGUUAGCGGCUGACGGGCGAGUAACACGUAGAUCACCAACCUAUUUUACUUGGGUAAUAACGGGAGACAGCAGCUAAUACCGCAUCAUAUUUUCUACCGCAUGGAUCAAAAGUUCUUGACGGUUUUCCCGUCUCUAUUAGCCGAUUCCGCGCUGCAUUAGCUAGUUGGUAAGGUAACGGCUUACCAAGGCAACGAUGCAUAGCCGACCUGAGAGGAUGAUCAGCCACACUGGAACUGAGACACGGUCCAGACUCCUACGGGAGGCAGCAGUGGGGAAUCUUCGGCAAUGGGCGAAAGCCUGACGGAGCAACGCCGCGUGAGUGAUGAAGGUCUUCGGAUCGUAAAACUCUGUUGUUAGGGAAGAACAGAAGUAGGAGAAACUGUGCAUGUCUUGACGGUACCUAAUGAAUAAGCAACGGCUAACUUCGUG
rnacentral:rRNA from 1 species